GCCCCUAUAGCUCAGCGGAACGAAGAGCAGCGGCCUUCUAAGCCGACGGUCGCAGGUUCGAAUCCUGCUGGGGGCA
rnacentral:tRNA from 1 species